rnacentral:lncRNA from 1 species
CUGGAUUUUUUGUAGGAAAUCAGUUUGUAUAAUAUCAAUUAAUAUCAAUACUGUUGUAAUUAGGAUUUACUUUCCUAGUAAGUUCCCUAGAAUAGAGGACACGUUUCCUAGUAUACUUAGAACUCUCUUGUAUAAAACCAAUUGUACCUAUCAAUGAAAAUUAUUCUCUUCCAAUAUCAUAUUCACAUGGUAUCAGAGCAGGACAUCAAACCCUAGCUCUUCAUAUUUCUUUUCCUACGGCACCUUACCUUCUCGUGCCGCAUAACUUCAGCUGCCGGAAACCAUGAGUGAUUCCUCUGGCACAUUCAAGGUUGAACCUUCAAGUCC